rnacentral:SRP_RNA from 1 species
GCUGGGCAUGGUGGCGGGUGCCUGUAAUCCUAGCUACUCAGGAGGCUGAGGCAGGAGAACUGCUUGAGCCCAGGAGGUAUGGAGGUUGCAGUGAGCCAAGAUUGUGCCACUGCACUCCAGCCUGAGUGACAGAGCAAAACUCUGUCUCAA